GCAGACGGAAGCUGGGUGGAUGCAGCUCCGUGUAGAGUAUCGGGUUCGCAGGUUCAAAUCCUGCCGUCUGCA
rnacentral:tRNA from 1 species